rnacentral:misc_RNA from 1 species
CUCUCUCUCCGUCCGUCCGCGCCGCUACUCCCCCCUCGCCGAGAGAGCUCUAGGGUUUCCGCUGCCGAAUUUUUUUUUUAAUUCGGGGGGAGAGAUUUGAAGAGGCGGCACCAUGUUGGUCUACCAGGAUCUGCUUACCGGUGACGAGCUCCUGUCGGAUUCGUUCCCCUACAGAGAGAUCGAGAACGGCAUCCUCUGGGAAGUCGAUGGCAAGUGGGUCGUUCAAGGAGCUAUUGAUGUGGACAUUGGUGCCAACCCAUCUGCUGAGGGUGGUGGUGAUGAUGAGGGUGUUGAUGACCAAGCUGUGAAGGUGGUCGACAUUGUGGACACCUUCCGUCUUCAGGAGCAACCUCCUUUUGACAAGAAGCAGUUUGUGACCUUCAUGAAGCGCUACAUCAAGAACCUCUCCGCCAAGCUGGAUGCGGAAAAGCAAGAGGAAUUCAAGAAGAACAUUGAGGGUGCCACCAAGUACUUGCUUGGAAAGCUCAAGGACCUUCAGUUGUAAGUUCACUAAUUGCUUGCCACAGGUCCAGGAAAUAGUAACAUAUGUGAUGCCAUGAACAUGUCUCACCAUUAGUGCCUACAAAUUCCAGUUUAAAUGAUUUGCUAUGUUCUAUCACAUUAAAUUCUUGAAGCAAUAAGACUUGUAUUCAAACCUGCUUCUUAUGCUGUCUCUUAUGAUCUGUUUCAGCUUUGUUGGUGAGAGCAUGCAUGAUGAUGGCGGCUUGGUGUUUGCCUACUACAAGGACGGAGCCACCGACCCAACCUUCCUUUACUUCUCUCAUGGGCUGAAGGAGGUCAAGUGCUGAGCGGUUCCUUCUGCUCGACACUGAUGUUUUAUCUAUGCAGUCCGCCGUAUUUUUGGUCUAGUCUAUGGUUGUCAGUUGACUCGAUAUGGUCUAAUGUUGGUGUCGGAAACAACUAUCGUUUGCUUGUUAUGGAUGUUGAGAUGAGUCCUUUUAAAAAAACCUCCGGAUUAUUGGAUUCAUGAGCUCCUUAAAUGUUUGGAACGAUAUUAAUUUGCUUUGUGAUGGCUGGAGAAAGAUAAUGAUGAAAUUGUUGUGCUAGCUAUGUUGCUUACACUUAAAACAUACCUUUGGUGUGUUCUGUCAGACUGAUGCCCAAAAAAAAAAAAACCUUUAGAAGCAACCUUUGUAUUG